rnacentral:rRNA from 1 species
AACGAGCGCUGGCGGCAUGCCUAACACAUGCAAGUCGAACGAGAUCUUCGGGUCUAGUGGCGCACGGGUGCGUAACGCGUGGGAAUCUGCCCUUUGGUUCGGAAUAACAGUUGGAAACGACUGCUAAUACCGGAUGAUGACGAAAGUCCAAAGAUUUAUCGCCAGAGGAUGAGCCCGCGUAGGAUUAGCUAGUUGGUGUGGUAAAGGCGCACCAAGGCGAAGAUCCUUAGCUGGUCUGAGAGGAUGAUCAGCCACACUGGGACGGAGACACGGCCCAGACUCCUACGGGAGGCAGCAGUGGGGAAUAUUGGACAAUGGGCGAAAGCCUGAUCCAGCAAUGCCGCGUGAGUGAUGAAGGCCUUAGGGUUGUAAAGCUCUUUUACCCGGGAUGAUAAUGACAGUACCGGGAGAAUAAGCUCCGGCUAACUCCGUGCCAGCAGCCGCCGUAA